GAAUAUCUUGUCUAAUUUAAGAAUUUUGGUGAAGAGAUUUGGGGGUUUUUCCACAGUAAGUCCUAAAGAAUGGCUCUCUUUGGCACCUGGUGUCAAGGCAUUAUUUAGACGUUGUAGCCAAGUGCUUCACAAGCUUUAAAGUGCACAUGAAUCUUGUUAACAUGCAGAUCUGGUUCAGUGGGUCUGGGGUGGGACCUCAGAGUCUGCAUUCCUAACAAGAUCCUGGGAGAUACCAAUGCUGCUCCUGCGCAAACCACGCUCACAGGGAAAGCAAGCAGCCAGCAAACAGCUCACUUGUGCUGUUUUGUCAAGAAUGGACCUCAGAGGUUGUGUUUGAGAAGCUUGGCACACUGUUUCAGCACAUACUCUUAUUAUCUCCCCACAAGUUUGGAAAUAGAUUUUGUGAUUGCACCUGACAAACACGGAGAUGAGGAUGCAGAAGAGAAAGUUGAGCACCAGUCAAGGUUACACAGGCGUGAGUGCCAGGUGGGUUCUCCUGGCAUCCAACACAGCUUCGGAGAAGCACAAGCGGGAAGCAAGGGACCCGUGAUGCAGGCCUGCAGCGAAGCCCUGGCCAGCCUGCCUCUCCACGGAGCUGGUUGAAGUCUGCAGAGAACUGGGCACCGCAGCUGUGCGUGGCACGAGAGGACAGUCUGAGAAGACCUGAAGUGAUGUACAAGAGGUGUUCAAUACAUGGUGCGUGUCACACUGUAAGAGCUCAAUAAAUAUUUGUUCACUGAAAAGACCCCAGGUGACUGGAUCACGGAACUGAAGAGUUGGAGGAGGCCGUGGAAAUCAGCUCAUCCAGCCUCCCACCUGGUGUAGGUUUUCCUUCUGAAGGAGCCAGGCAGAUGCUUCCCGAAAAGGGGAGCUCACCCACUGCUUGUAGGGAGUCCUUUUUGUGUGUAGGGACUUCUACCUCUGGGAUGUUUCCCUCACAUGGACAGAAAUCUAUCUCCCUGGACAUUCUACCAUCAGUUCCAGUUCAGCCCCCAACAACAUAACACAGCCACUUCCUUUGCCAAAUAGCACCUGGAAAUGAGGUUUGCACGUGAAGGCAGCAUUUAAACAGGAAGCUGAGAGUCUUUAGUUCAGUGUCCUCCAACUUAAGUCUGGGUUGGCCAGCAUGGCCUGAGACUGGGUUUAACGCUACCCUACUUCACCCCACCCCAGGCACAGGUUCCCACAACCUGAGCAGCGCCUGUCCUGUUAGGGAGGGAGGCGAUUCACAUCCAACUGGGAGGAGCGGCCUUAUACGCUUAGAAAAGCAACUCUGUCAAAAUUGACACCUUCUGUCAUCCUCCCAUGUCGAGCACCCUGUCCUAGGAUGGUCACCCCUGAGCAUCCUUCCUGAGUGGUACAUUCUUGAGAAACUGAACCAUGGCCAGAGGCAGCCAACCCAGCGCCGUACCUUGGACUUCUGAAGAUAGUGACCAAGUCUCUUCAGAGACAUUUCAGCUCCUUCUGAUGAGAUGGCACCUUGACAUGCUGGCCGCCUUCCUCUUGAUACUUCCCAGUUUAUCAUCAAACUGUAACUCUCUUAAAAGGCUGAGUCCAUCCUGAAAACAGUACUCCACAUAGGGCCAGGCCGGCUCUGGGCACAGCGAAGCUCUGAUUCACGCUUGCACACAUUUGCUCAUGGUAGAUGAACAGGGAGGAGAAAUCCUGCGUGCAGUUAAUGUUGGAAAACUUGACAGAAUGAAAUAACUUGUAGAGAGAUGAGAAGUACCUUUCCUGCAUUAAUACAAACAAAUAUUGGGGAGAGGGGCCCUGCUACAAAGACCCAUCAACUGGCAGGUAGUCAAAAAGCCUGCUGGGAAUAGGGGACUAAAAAAAGGCAGAGCUACAAGGAUCCCCCCAGGUCAUCAAUUCCUUACACAUUUCUGUAUUAUUAUUCUGUGACACUGUUGUGCCACGAUUUCUACACAUUUCCCUAAAAUGCUAUGAGCAAACUGAGGGCAAGGACCAGCCUUGAGCACUGUUCCUAGUGCCUCGUUGGUGUCCAGUAGUUUUUAAUUGAAGCAGAACAUGAUAGCGCUCUACCCCAGGCCCCAAGCCCAGGUUAGGAUCACCCAGUCUCCCUUCCACUCCUAGCUCUCCGCCUGCCUGUGGUCCUGCUCUUUAAGCCUGCCUUUGGCUUUCAUUUCAGCCAGAUUCUUUGCAAAACCCUUUCGUUUUCUGUACUCUUCCAUUUGAGAAUUAACCCUUCACUUGGCAAAGAACUAAGUCUACUCUAAGUUACCUGGACAAAGGGUACCCACAGCCCUCCUGGAACCUGGCUAUUAAGACAGUGACAUUCUACUGGGGGCGAUAUUAGCAAACUCCAUCACCCCCCAACCCCCAUUACCACCCAUAAGCCCCCGGUAGUUGGCAGAGAAACCUAACUGCUUC
rnacentral:lncRNA from 1 species